rnacentral:sRNA from 1 species
UUGACAGCGCAGGCCACUGAAGUCCUCUGUAUAUCCGCAGGGCAGGCAUGGUACAGAGAGCUUCCCUGCACAGCCUUGCCCAUGAGCUCGUCCCUGGCCUGGAGGGACCCACUCUAGAGGUGGUAAGUAAUCCAGUCUUUCUGCUAGCUCCGUCCUGGGCCUCU